GAUGAACGCUGGCGGCGUGCUUAACACAUGCAAGUCGAACGAAGCAAUUUUCUACGAUCCCUUCGGGGUGACGGAUUAUUGACUGAGUGGCGGACGGGUGAGUAACGCGUGGGUAACCUACCUUGUACAGGGGGACAACAGUUGGAAACGACUGCUAAUACCGCAUAAGCGCACAGCAUCGCAUGAUGCAGUGUGAAAAGUUUUUUCGGUACAAGAUGGACCCGCGUCUGAUUAGCUAGUUGGUGAGGUAACGGCCCACCAAGGCGACGAUCAGUAGCCGACCUGAGAGGGUGACCGGCCACAUUGGGACUGAGACACGGCCCAAACUCCUACGGGAGGCAGCAGUGGGGAAUAUUGCACAAUGGGCGAAAGCCUGAUGCAGCGACGCCGCGUGAGCGAAGAAGUAUUUCGGUAUGUAAAGCUCUAUCU
rnacentral:rRNA from 1 species